CACUCCUGCGGGAGGCAGCAGUGGGGAAUAUUGGACAAUGGGCGCAAGCCUGAUCCAGCCAUGCCGCGUGAGUGAUGAAGGCCCUAGGGUUGUAAAGCUCUUUCACCGGUGAAGAUAAUGACGGUAACCGGAGAAGAAGCCCCGGUUAACUUCGUGCCAGCAGCCGCGGUAAUACGAAGGGGGCCAGCGUUGUUCGGAUUUACUGGGCGUAAAGCGCACGUAGGCGGACUAUUAAGUCAGGGGUGAAAUCCCGGGGCUCAACCCCGGAACUGCCUUUGAUACUGGUAGUCUUGAGUUCGAGAGAGGUGAGUGGAAUUCCGAGUGUAGAGGUGAAAUUCGUAGAUAUUCGGAGGAACACCAGUGGCGAAGGCGGCUCACUGGCUCGAUACUGACGCUGAGGUGCGAAAGCGUGGGGAGCAAACAGGAUUAGAAACCCUAGUAGUCCCAUGAU
rnacentral:rRNA from 1 species